CCUACGAGUGGCAGCAGUGAGGAAUAUUGGUCAAUGGGCGGGAGCCUGAACCAGCCAAGUCGCGUGAGGGAAGACGGUCCUAUGGAUUGUAAACCUCUUUAGGCGGGGAGCAAUGCCGGGCACGCGUGACCGGAGGGAGAGUACCCGCAGAAUAAGCAUCGGCUAACUCCGUGCCAGCAGCCGCGGUAAUACGGAGGGUGCGAGCGUUAUCCGGAUUUAUUGGGUUUAAAGGGUGCGUAGGCGGACUUUUAAGUCAGCGGUAAAAUGUCCGGGCUCAACCCGGGCCGGCCGUUGAAACUGGGGAUCUUGAGUGGGCGAGAAGUAUGCGGAAUGCGUGGUGUAGCGGUGAAAUGCAUAGAUAUCACGCAGAACUCCGAUUGCGAAGGCAGCAUACCGGCGCCCGACUGACGCUGAGGCACGAAAGCGUGGGUAUCGAACAGGAUUAGAUACCCGGGUAGUC
rnacentral:rRNA from 1 species